rnacentral:lncRNA from 1 species
GCCUUCAGCAAUGAAGAGCAGACUUUCCUCUAAUCAUUAGAAAUUAUGUUUGAUCAUGAGCCAAACACUGUUCCUUGUGUGUCAUUGGUAACAGACAAGGUAGCUCUCGCCACAGUAAUUAAAGUGAUCUUGGUGGCACUACCCUGAUAGAAUAACAUAUGCUGACAGCUCCCUCAUCAGAGCAAGCAGUUGAGCCUUCCUCUUGCUGGGUCCACGUGCGAGGGUCACGUUCGGAGGCGCAGACCUCUUACUGUGGCACUG